rnacentral:tRNA from 1 species
GGAGAGAUGGCUGAGUGGACUAAAGCGUUGGAUUGCUAAUCCAUUGUACGAGUUAAUCGUUUUUUUUU